GACGAACGCUGGCGGCGUGCCUAAUACAUGCAAGUAGAACGCACAGUUUAUACCGUAGCUUGCUCCACCAUAAACUGUGAGUUGCGAACGGGUGAGUAACGCGUAGGUAACCUGCCUGGUAGCGGGGGAUAACUAUUGGAAACGAUAGCUAAUACCGCAUAAUAUUAAUUAUUGCAUGAUAAUUGAUUGAAAGAUGCAAUUGCAUCACUACCAGAUGGACCUGCGUUGUAUUAGCUAGUAGGUGAGGUAACGGCUCACCGAGGCGACGAUACAUAGCCGACCUGGGCGGGUGUUCGGCCCCGCUGGGACUGGGACACGGCCCAGACUCCUACGGGAGGCAGCCGUAGGGAAUCUUCGGCGAUGGACGAAAGUCUUACCGAGCAACGCCGCGUGAGUGAAGAAGGUUUUCGGGUCGUAAAGCUCUGUUGUAAGAGAAGAACGGGUGUGAGAGUGGAAAGUUCACACUGUGACGGUAUCUUACCAGAAAGGGACGGCUAACUACGUG
rnacentral:rRNA from 1 species